rnacentral:lncRNA from 1 species
UCAUUGCUUGCCUGGCCUUGACAACCGCAACUUCAUUUUUUCCCUCUAAAAACACAAUGUUUCAGAAGUGCUUGACCAUUAUCCUUGAACACAAGCAGAAAUUAUUUUACAUUCACGACAUGAAAUACAAUGUGAAUGGAAAUUGUCACGGCCAGCUCGUUCUCGACCAUAACAAAAUAUGAGCACCUGUUCAGAUUGAUUAACUUAGAAGAUUCUUUAUUCAUGUGUCAAAAUGAUACAUUACAAAAUAUUACGACAAUUUCUACAGUUUAAAUAAGCCAAAUGAUGAGGACAUGUUGAUAGGCUACAACAAAACAAAGGUUCAAGCCAAUGACUUCUCCUGAGGACUGCCGAUCCCCUGGAAGAAUUGAAAUGGAGAGGAUCAGUCCCAUCUUUAUCCUCUCCACAAUUAGAGGAGAUUAUUCGACAGGGGUGUGCAAUCCUCCACACCCUCCCAAAUCAUCCCACCACCAGCAGGCGAGAAAAGGAAGCGCAGGGUCAUAACAAAAUGAAAAUGCAAAAGACAUUUUCACUGUUAAAUAUAUAUAUACAGAUAACACUGUUGCUCCAGGAUCAACAAAACAUAUGGUCUGUGAACUUUCAGCUGAACUGACAAAGUGAUUGUGAUAUUUUUAUCAUGAUGUUGCAAAAUCUCACCUGACCUGACCUUGAUGCAAGUUCUACCCAGAAUCCAUCAUUCAAUUCCUGCGGCUGCCACAGAAUAACUCUGUGAGGAGUGUCAAGGCCUGGCUGACUCAUCAUUUGUCUUAAAGUCUUUAAUAACACUCAAAUAUUGACAUUUCAAAUGCUUUCAUCUUAUGAACAACUGUCAUUUUUUUCUUUUUUAUCAGAGUUUUAUCAAAUCUGACAGAUGUUUUCCUCCCCAUUCAGACAUUAAACUCAAGUCCGCAUUUCAGAAAGUGACUAAUGCAAGCGGUUAGAAAUAAAAGUCAUUAUUUUUUCUGAGAAGGCUCAGCACUCUUCUCCAGUCUCUGGAUAAAGCAAACACUUCCCUGUGGAUUUACAUGUGUAAGUCACUCAUCUGUCCUGCUCUCAGGCCAUGAUUUACAUGAACAAAAAUACAAACACUGUGAAAGACGAGAUGAGAGUUGUUCACAAGUGUGUGCACAGACAAGCUCUCCCUCUUAUACUUACAAUUAUUGUAAAUCAUCAAAGAUGAGUAGUCAUGCAUUAUAGCAUUUUAAAGUAUAUUACAAUAGAAUACAGAUUUUAAAUUGUAGUACUAUUUCACAAUGUGACAUUUUUUUUCUGUCUUAUCAAAUAAACACAACCUGUUUUUCCAUGUAUAAUAGUUUUAUUGUGUAAUAGUUUAAUAGUUUUAUUGCCGUUUCACAGUUAUAAUCUUCACCUCAAAAUUAGUUUGCUUUUUAAUCCACUCAAAAGUACAAGAGAAUAUCACACCAAAGAAGAAAACAAAGACACAAACAAAAGGGAAUCAUGUCGAUCUCACUGGAUACUAAUAUCCUCACACCUCAUAGUUUCAAACUCAUAAAAUCAGGCCUUGCUUUCACACAGAGAUGUCAGUUUGAUUGAGAGGACAAAUGACCAAAGGGCUUGAGUUGGAUCCGUCUUCGUUGGGAUGAGGAUUGAUAUAUAUAUAUAUAUAUAUAUAUAUAUAUAUAUAUAUAUAUUAUAAUAUAUAUAUAUAUAUAUAUAUAUAUAUAUAUAUAGAUAGAUAGAUAGAUAGAUAGAUAGUGCAUUGAACAUGUUUAAUAAAAUAGAAACAUCAUAUUAAUAUAAAGAAAAUAUAUAUGAUAAAAACAUUUUUUUGAAGAAAUUACAUUUAGCCCUUGCUUUCACACAGAGAUGUCGGUUUGAUUGAGAGGACAAAUGACCAACGGGCUCGAGAUGGUUCCGUCAUUGUUGGGAUGAGGAUUGAAGUACGGACGGAUGGAUCCAUUAAAGCUGCAGCGAGUGAACGAGUAAAUAUGUGACAGAGCCUCCAUUCUAAAGCUUCUGUACAUUUUUUGAGCACAGAGCACGAUGGCCCAGUAUCCCUUGCUGGGUUUGUAGGACACUUUGCCCUUCCGUUUCGCUCCGUCCCUCAUCACCCAAGCUCCCAGCCCACCUUAUUCCCCACCUCCACCACCCAGAAAGCUCUUCCCGAAGUGAUGUGAGGUUUUCCCAGGACUCCUCCGACCAGGUCGAACUGUUGCGGGCCGCCCGGGAUGUCGUGACUUGCUCUGGUGUCACGCACCUCUUUACCGUCUUCAGACACCUCUAAGUGCGGACGCGCUGUUACAGCGUCCAGAGUCACGUUUACUGCACAAAGACCAGAUUCUUAGUUACUGAAUGCCUGAGAUUCUGCAAAGAUUGAGAGAUUUGUAAACAUGCAAAGAGAAGAACUAGCUCAAAAACUGUUCCUACACAUACCUGAGAAGCUGUGAAUCCUUCUAAUUUCUGUAAAAAAAUAAAAAAUAAAAAAUAAAAAAAGAAAGAAAAGAUAUAGUGAACAAAUUUACAAAUCAAAUUUACAAGUGUGAGACUGUCUGGACCAUAAUACAUACACCUUGAUACUGUUCAAUUCUUCAAUGUUACUGUAAAGUAGCCUACAUUAAAUUAUACAACAGAUACCAUCAUAUCCACAUCUCCUCUUCAAAACAACAAGAUCUCAGGUGCCAUUCAUGCCUGUGCACAUAAUUAAGUGCACUUAAUUGUUUUGAAUGUGCACUUUAAACCACAAAAGUAUAUUUUAAAACUGUACUUGCAGAUAAUAUAAUAUUAAUAGAAUAAAAGGCUACUUAAGUGUAAAAAAUAAAAAAAGAAAAGAAAAAGAAUAUAGUGAACAAAUUUACAAAUCAAAUUUACAAGUGUGAGACUGUCUGGACCAUAAUACAUACACCUUGAUACUGUUCAAUUCUUCAAUGUUACUGUAAAGUAGCCUACAUUAAAUUAUACAACAGAUACCAUCAUAUCCACAUCUCCUCUUCAAAACAACAAGAUCUCAGGUGCCAUUCAUGCCUGUGCACAUAAUUAAGUGCACUUAAUUGUUUUGAAUGUGCACUUUAAACCACAAAAGUAUAUUUUAAAACUGUACUUGCAGAUAAUAUAAUAUUAAUAGAAUAAAAGGCUACUUAAGUGACUAAAAAGAGACACUUUCAUGACCGUUUCUUAACACUCAAGUACACUUUUAAAAAGUG